GUGGCGAACGGGUGAGUAACACGUGGGUAACCUGCCCAGAAGUAGGGGAUAACACCUGGAAACAGAUGCUAAUACCGUAUAACAGAGAAAACCGCAUGGUUUUCUUUUAAAAGAUGGCUCUGCUAUCACUUCUGGAUGGACCCGCGGCGUAUUAGCUAGUUGGUGAGGUAAAGGCUCACCAAGGCAGUGAUACGUAGCCGACCUGAGAGGGUAAUCGGCCACAUUGGGACUGAGACACGGCCCAGACUCCUACGGGAGGCAGCAGUAGGGAAUCUUCCACAAUGGACGCAAGUCUGAUGGAGCAACGCCGCGUGAGUGAAGAAGGGUUUCGGCUCGUAAAGCUCUGUUGUUAAAGAAGAACGUGGGUAAGAGUAACUGUUUACCCAGUGACGGUAUUUAACCAGAAAGCCACGGCUAACUACGUGCCAGCAGCCGCGGUAAUACGUAGGUGGCAAGCGUUAUCCGGAUUUAUUGGGCGUAAAGCGAGCGCAGGCGGUCUUUUAAGUCUAAUGUGAAAGCCUUCGGCUCAACCGAAGAAGUGCAUUGGAAACUGGGAGACUUGAGUGCAGAAGAGGACAGUGGAACUCCAUGUGUAGCGGUGAAAUGCGUAGAUAUAUGGAAGAACACCAGUGGCGAAGGCGGCUGUCUGGUCUGCAACUGACGCUGAGGCUCGAAAGCAUGGGUAGCGAACAGGAUUAGAUACCCUGGUAGUCCAUGCCGUAAACGAUGAUUACUAAGUGUUGGAGGGUUUCCGCCCUUCAGUGCUGCAGCUAACGCAUUAAGUAAUCCGCCUGGGG
rnacentral:rRNA from 2 species